rnacentral:rRNA from 1 species
AUGGAGGUUUGGUUGAAAUUGGUUACGACGACGUCGAGUUGGCGGCGGAGGAAGACUCGGCAUGAAGGCCAGAAAAUGGUGUGGAACGUAGUGGUAAUAGUACGCGCCCCGCUCCGAAACAAAGAAAAAGGUGCGUGCCGCACUCACGAGGGACUGCCAGUGAGAUACUGGAGGAUGGUGGGGAUGACGUCAAGUCCGCAUGGCCCUUAUGGGCUGGGCCACACACGUGCUACAAUGGCAAUGACAAUGGGAAGCAAGGCUGUAAGGCGGAGCGAAUCCGGAAAGAUUGCCUCAGUUCGGAUUGUUCUCUGCAACUCGGGAACAUGA